UCCCUUGAAAUAAAAGCACGAGUACCCUAUAAUUAUAAGUGCUGGGCUUGCCCAGAUAUGAUGCUAAACGCUUUGCGGAAUAAGCGCUGUGGACCCGGGGGCAGUGCCCGGCGGCUCCACCAUUUAAGUUGUGACCAUAAAAUACGACUUAGACGGCGGGGCCGAAACAGGAUCGACACACGUAAUAAAGGCACGGUCUGUAUCCGGUAUUGUACCACCGUUAUCGGGCUGUUUUUAUAGUUGCAAACGAUAACAACUAUGCUUUCGUAGCAAAAGCUUCUAACGACAACUUUGUUGCCGUUGAAGGGGAAGCAAUCGCUGCCUAAUUUGGCCGCAUUGUGCGCUACACUUAAAUCCCUGGAAGUCUAAGCGCUUUCAGGUGGGGGUUCGGCGGCACCUGGCAACAGAAGCCGCCACU
rnacentral:tmRNA from 1 species